AACACCACUGGCAUCCCGCCCUCCACAAAGUAGAAGAAGACCAUCAGACCGUGCACUUGCCGUUGCAUACCUUUGGCACAAUGAAAUUAAAAUAAGGAUAAAAAUUUUCACCAAUCUUCAUGAAUUAUCAGAUGAUGAAAUAGAACAUGUCACAGAGAAUGCAACAAAAAAUAGUCCACUUACAGGGUAAAUCUUUAUGAUAGAAAUAAGGAGAAGAAGAUUGUGCAAAGUAAGUAGAAAAGGAUUGCACAAGAAGCAAUCUUCACAUUAAUA